AUAGGUCAAGCUACAAAGGGCGCAUGGUGAAUGCCUUGGCAUCAGGAGCCGAUGAAGGACGCGAUAAGCUGCGAUAAGCUUCGGGUAGACGCACAUAGUCAGAGAUCCGAAGAUUUCCGAAUGAGGAAACUCACAUGGGAAACCCCAUGUAUCGUAAAGUGAAUACAUAGCUUUAUGAAGGUAAACCCAGGGAACUGAAACAUCUAAGUACCUGGAGGAAGAGAAAGAAAAAUCGAUUUUCUUAGUAGCGGCGAGCGAAAGGGAAAGAGCCCAAACCAAAGAUUUAUCUUUGGGGUUGCGGACAGAACAUUAACGAGAAAUUAUGGUUAACCGAACACAACUGGAAAGUUGGACCGUAGGGGGUAAUAGUCCUGUAGGUGAAAAUU
rnacentral:rRNA from 1 species